GACGAACGCUGGCGGCGUGCCUAAUACAUGCAAGUAGGACGCAGUUGCGAACGGGUGAGUAACGCGUAGGUAACUACCUAUUAGAGGGGGAUAACUAUGGGAAACGAUAGCUAAUACCGCAUACUAGUAGAUGGACCUGCGUUGUAUUAGCUAGUAGGUAGGGUAAUGGCCUACCUAGGCAACGAUACAUAGCCGACCGUGAGAGGGGAGCGGCCCAACUGGGACUGGGGAACGGCUCAAACUCCUACGGGAGGGAGCAGUAGGGAAUCUUCGGCAAUGGGGGGAACGCUGACCGAGCAACGGCGCGUGAGUGAAGGAAGUUUUCGGAUCGUAAAGCUCUGUUGUUAAGGAAGCGGUACUUAACCAGAAAGGGACGGCUAACUACGUGCCAGCAGCCGCGGUAAUAC
rnacentral:rRNA from 1 species